UCAUUUUUCUUGAAUUUAAAUUGAAUUAUAUAUCUAUCUAUUAUGUAACUAUCUCUUAUUUCUUUACUUUUAUUGCACUUCCAAGAAGAUUACUUCCGUGGCUUAUGAGCAAGUGGCCCAGAAGAUUUGAAUUUUAACAAGUGCGAACUUUACUGCUAAAUACUAAAAUCUCAGACUUGAGAGUAGUAACAGCCUCUCCUCUGGUGAAAUCAGAAAAAGCUGGCUAGAGAGAGCUCAGGGCUGAAAACAAAGACAUUCAAACCUUGAGCCAUUUAGAAGAGGAAGAAGCCAAAAUCUGUGCCAGAGGUUUGACUACUGGGAUACUCAUGGCUUCAGGUAAGCUUCUUUUCCUGGGUUGUUUAGCAUUUCAGAGGCCCUCUGUGUUCCUCAA
rnacentral:lncRNA from 1 species